rnacentral:rRNA from 1 species
GAUGAACGCUGGCGGCGUGCCUAAUACAUGCAAGUCGAGCGAACGGACGAGAAGCUUGCUUCUCUGAUGUUAGCGGCGGACGGGUGAGUAACACGUGGAUAACCUACCUAUAAGACUGUGAUAACUUCGGGAAACCGGAGCUAAUACCGGAUAAUAUUUUGAACCGCAUGGUUCAAAAGUAAAAGACGGUCUUGCUGUCACUUAUAGAUGGAUCCGCGCUGCAUUAGCUAGUUGGUAAGGUAACGGCUUACCAAGGCAACGAUGCAUAGCCGACCUGAGAGGGUGAUCGGCCACACUGGAACUGAGACACGGUCCAGACUCCUACGGGAGGCAGCAGUAGGGAAUCUUCCGCAAGGGGCGAAAGCCUGACGGAGCAACGCCGCGUGAGUGAUGAAGGUCUUCGGAUCGUAAAACUCUGUUAUUAGGGAAGAACAUAUGUGUAAGUAACUGUGCACAUCUUGACGGUACCUAAUCAGAAAGCCACGGCUAACUACGUG